UGGGGAAUUUUGCACAAUGGGGGAAACCCUGAUGCAGCGACGCCGCGUGAUUUAGAAGGCCUUCGGGUUGUAAAAAUCUUUUCUAUGGGAAGAAAAUGACAGUACCAUAGGCAUAAGGACCGGCUAAUUACGUGCCAGCAGCCGCGGUAAUACGUAAGGUCCGAGCGUUGUCCGGAAUCAUUGGGCGUAAAGGGUACGUAGGUGGAUAAGCAAGUUAGAAGUGAAAUCCUAUAGCUCAACUAUAGUAAGCUUUUAAAACUGCUCAUCUUGAGGUAUGGAAGGGAAAGUGGAAUUCCUAGUGUAGCGGUGAAAUGCGCAGAUAUUAGGAGGAAUACCGGUGGCGAAGGCGACUUUCUGGCCAUAUACUGACGCUGAGGUACGAAAGCGUGGGUAGCAAACAGG
rnacentral:rRNA from 1 species